rnacentral:rRNA from 1 species
AGUUCGAUCCUGGCUCAGAUUGAACGCUGGCGGGAUGCUUUACAUGCAGUCGAACGGCGGCACGGACUUCGGUCUGGUGGCGAGUGGCGAACGGGUGAGUAAUGUAUCGGAACGUGCCUAGUAGCGGGGGAUAACUACGCGGCGUAGCUAAUACCACAUACGCCCUUCGAGAAAGCGGGGGACCUUCGGGCCUCGCACUGGCUAGAGCGGCCGAUAUCGGAUUAGCUAGUUGGUGGGAUAACGACUCACCAAGGCGACGAUCCGUAGCUGGUUUGAAGGACGACCAGCCACACUGGGACUGAGACACGGCCAGACUCCUACGGGAGGCAGCAGUGGGGAAUUUUGGACAAUGGGGGAAACCUGAUCCAGCCAUCCGCGUGUGCGAUGAAGGCCUUCGGGUUGUAAAGCACUUUUGGCAGGAAAGAAGCAGCCUGGGGAUAAUACCCCGUGCAACUGACGAUACCUGCAGAAUAAGCACCGGCUAACUACGUGCCAGCAGCCGCGGUAUUACGUAGGGUGCAAGCGUUAAUCGGAAUUACUGGGCGUAAAGCGUGCGCAGGCGGUUCGGAAAGAAAGAUGUGAAAUCCCAAGCUUAACUUUGGAACUGCAUUUUUUAACUACCGAGCUAGAGUGUGUCAGAGGAGGUGGAAUUCCGCGUGUAGCAGUGAAAUGCGUAGAUAUGCGGAGAGGAACACCGAUGGCGAAGGCAGCCUCCUGGGAUAACGCGGCGCUCAUGCACGAAAGCGUGGGGGUGAAACAGGAUUAGAUACCCUGGUAGUCCACGCCUAAACGAUGUCAACUAGCUGUUGGGGCCUUCGGGCCUUGGUAGCGCAACUAACGCGUGAAGUUGACCGCCUGGGAUACGGUCGCAAGAUUAAAACUCAAGGAAUUGACGGGGACCGCACAAGCGGUGGAUGAUGGAUUCCCAAUUCGAUACAGCAUGAAAACACCCCUGCCGCCGGCAUGUUACCGGUCGAAGAGGUGGGGUGCUCGCAGAGAACGGAACACAGGUGCUGCAUGGCUGUCGUCAGCUCGUGUCAUGAGAUGUUGGGUUAAGUCCCUAUGUGAGCGCAACCCUUGUCGUGGUUGCUACGAAGGGCACUCUAAUGAGACUGCCGAUGACAAACCAGGAGGAAGGUCAGGGAUGACGUCAAGUCCUCAUGGCCCUUAUGGGUAAGACUUCACGUCAUACAAUGGUCGGGACAGAGGGUCGCCAACCCGCGAGGGGAACAAUCCGAAGCCCGAUCGUCCGGAUCGCAGUCUGCAACUCGACUGCGUGAAGUCGGAAUCGCUAGUAAUCGCGGAUCGGCGCAUGUCGCGGUGAAUACGUUCCCGGGUCUUGUACACACCAUAAUACCAUGGGGUGAGUUUUUACCGAAGUAGUUAGCCUAACCGUAAGGAGGGCGAUUUACUGCAGUAGGAUUCAUGACUGGGGUGAAGUCGUAACAAGAUAA